rnacentral:rRNA from 1 species
UACGGAGGGUGCGAGCGUUGUCCGGAAUCAUUGGGCGUAAAGGGCGCGUAGGUGGCCCGGUCAGUCUUUGGUGAAAGCGCGGGGCUCAACCCUGCGUCGGCCAGGGAUACUGCCGCGGCUCGAGCACUGUAGAGGCAGGCGGAAUUCCGGGGGUAGCGGUGGAAUGCGUAGAGAUCCGGAAGAACACCGGUGGCGAAGGCGGCCUGCUGGGACAUUGCUGACGCUGAGGCGCGACAGCGUGGGGAGCAAACAGG